GGUGGGAAAUUUCACUGUGAUGAUGGAGGGGGGGGGGUGGUAUAUGUUGUGCACAUGAUAUUUGGUUCUGUAGGCUCUUUGUCCUAUAGGGAAACCUCAAGGUACUUCUGAAGAAACAAUGAUCAAAUGUGAUGUGGUUGGAGUAUUUAGCCCUGGGUGACUGACAGCUGCAAGAAGUACCCCUAUGAUCUGCCAAGGUGGACAUUAGCAGAGGAAGCCAGUGAUGGGCAGAGACAUACCAGAUUUGAGCAAUGCACUCAAAUGCCUUGAGAAGAGCUUCAUCAAAUGUGGUACAGAGACAGCCUCCAUAGCAGAAUCCCCAAAUCGUUAAGGUUGGAAAGGACCUGUGAGAUCAUGGAGUCCUACCAUUAACCCAUCACCACUGUGUCCACCACUAAGCCGUGUCUCCAAGUAUCAUAUCCCAUGUUUUUUGAAGACUUCCAGGGAUGGUGACUCCACCACUUUUCUGGGCAGCUCAUUCCAGUGCUUGACCAUCCUUUCAGUGAGAAAUGUUUCCUAACAUCCCAUCUAAACCUCUUCCUGGUGCAACUUAAGGCCAUUUCCUCUUGUCCUUUCAUUUGUUAACUGAGAGAAGACACUACAUGCAUUUCACAAUUCAAAAUUAAGUCAAGACUUGCAGGUUUUCUGCCUCCUGCCACCACCCUGCAGCUGUUAUCCAGGCUCACUGCCCUCGCAUCCCAUUCCCAUGUUGCCAGCAGUUUGCUCAGCUCGGCACACCUGCAGCAGCUCACACAAUGCAGGGGUCAGUGACCAGCAACACAUUGAUUAAAUAGUUAAGCACACUGCAAACCCAGUAUGUGUAUAACAGUAAUACUUCCCAGGCAGAAAAACUCUCUAGGAAAGGUUCUCCAAGUCAUUAUUUCACUCAGCUGAUAAGGAAGAUGAGUUGCCAGUACUGAGCUCCUGCAGCCGAGCUCCCGAGGCUCACCAAGGUGCAAGACAGAUUUUAGGGUGCUGUGAAGUGCUUAGGAAGACCCCUGGGAAACUCAGUUAAUUUGCUGUGUGCUUGUGCUGCUCUGUAGGUCCUGUGUAGGGGAAAUCAAAGCCCAGACUACACAGCACACCCCUGCAAGGCAAAGGCUCCCCCUUUCCACACCUGCAGGCACAAGGAGAGCUAAGCUGGCUCCUGCUGUGUUCCUGGAGUGAUCAUUGCAUCUUCAGACAAGACCUGUUUGGGUCUUGGGAGUUUGGGACAAGGCGAUGUACCAGCUAGCCAGGGAUGCCCCGUGUCCUGGAGGCGUGGGCAGCACUGAGCCUUUGCCACAGCAGUCUGGCCUUGAGGAAGCAGAGGGACCAUUGCUCCUCCUGAAGGGAACUGAGGAGUGGGAAGAAAGGAGGUGAAUGGCAUUCCUGAAACUUGGGAAAAGAAACGUUUUAUCAUGGUUGCCACAGAAACUGGGAAUGGACAAUAAGCACUUAGAUGUUUUAUCAUGUCCCUUAGCACUUGUAGCAUGCAAGCUGUGUGAAAAGAAGCAUUAUCCUGUACAGGGAGGCUGACAGGUACCCGAAUGGGAAAACAAAUGUGAGAGAAUCUGUGCCAGGGCAUCCCAGCAGAAUGCAUCCCAGCAGAGGGGCUACAGAGACAGCAGGGAGAUGGCACUUCCUGAAGUGCUGCCAAAGAAUGGGAAUGAGGAACCCUGGAAAGAUGGACAGUGCAGAGUCAAACAUCUGAGGAGACAGGAGUUAGCAUGGAGAAUCCCAUGGAAUUCCAGGGCACGCACUGCCCUUGGGCUCUCAUUACUGCCAGCCCCACGCUGGCGCCUUUCUGUGAUCCUGUGUGUCCUUAGUCCAACUAGGCAUCUCACUCGCAGCUGUUCUGUCUGUGUGCUUCCUCUCUGCACUCUUUUUUAUUCAACACAUCAUAUAUUCCUUUCAUCACUCAAAUUCAUUUUGGUGCAUUUGACUGGAAAAGGUCAUGUAGAUCCAGCUCAACCCCUAAAUGACAGAUCAUGCCCACACACUAUCAAUACUCCAAAGAGCAAGACAUUUCCCUGGUUACAAUGCAUUCGUAGGCCAAAAAUCACUCUCUGUCCUCAGCACACCAAGCAUCCAGUAUGUUGUGGUCAUGAUUAUUUUGGUCAUUUUGCUUUCCCCAUCUGCCUAAAACAUUAAAUUUCUCCCUCCUGCUCCCACUCACAUUCCUCCUCCAAUAUUUCCUUCAGGAAAUCUUCUUAUGGAUGUGCAAAAAAACUGCAGGCACUUAUCACAUGAAGCACAUCAUGAUGAGAAACACCUACCCUUCUCAUGAAGUACCAACUCCCUCCUAUCCAUCUUCCUGAAGUACAUGCCAGUGAUCAUCUGCAACCGCUCUGCACAAAGCUAAAUAAUUUUUCCUUCAUGCUGAAACCACCAACAAAGAACCUCCUUGGCCAGGGAAAUGGAGUAUACACUGAAUCCAAAUGCCCAGAACAAGAAGAGGAACUAUAAUGCUCAUAUGUGUAGAAGCAAACAGUCCCUCUCCAUUCCAGCACCCAGAUCUUUUUUGCAAUGACACAGCAUCACAGACCUUUCUACUUCCCAUUGCUCUCAGUGAUUAUUUUAUGGUGAUUAGUCAGCCUCUGAAAACCCAUGGAAAAUACCUGGUCCUGCUGGAAAAGACCUGGUAUGUGUGUCUAUCAUUUAAAACCCUUAAAGCCAGCUCCAACUCUUGCACAUUUCCAGGCUUUUUACAUGACAGAGCAGAAAUCUCCCUAUUUCUAACGCCUGUGACAUUUGCCGUAGCCGAUCUCCCAAGCCUGGCUGGUGAGCUCCUGAUCAGCAGUAAGAUGCCAGAGGUAGUGGUGCCACAGUUGCCCACUUGGAUGGGCACAUUUGUGCUCCUCUCUUGUAGCUCUGGGCUCUGCUGACAGAUCUAAUUGGUCUUUGUCAUCCAAAAGCUUUGCCACUGGCAGUGACCAUCCAGUUCUGAACCACUACCUGUUCUCACCAGUUGCUGCUGCCUAAGUGAGCUCCAAAACAAAAAUUUCAUCAAGUAAAACUGCUCCAUGUAACUUCUCCACAAAGUUUUAUCUCAUCUUCUUCCAGUAUCAUUUCCUGCAGUGUAUCACCUCAGUAUCCAGUGUCUUUGGAAACCUCAGAUGUAAAUUCUUCUGC